rnacentral:rRNA from 1 species
UACGUAGGGUGCAAGCGUUGUCCGGAAUUAUUGGGCGUAAAGAGCUCGUAGGCGGUCUGUCGCGUCUGCUGUGAAAACUCAGGGCUUAACCCUGAGCUUGCAGUGGGUACGGGCAGACUAGAGUGCGGUAGGGGAGACUGGAAUUCCUGGUGUAGCGGUGGAAUGCGCAGAUAUCAGGAGGAACACCGGUGGCGAAGGCGGGUCUCUGGGCCGAUACUGACGCUGGAGGAGCGAAAAGCCGUGGGGAGCGAACAGG